UACGGGGGGGGCAAGCGUUGUUCGGAAUUACUGGGCGUAAAGGGCUCGUAGGUGGCCAACUAAGUCAGACGUGAAAUCCCUCGGCUUAACCGGGGAACUGCGUCUGAUACUGGAUGGCUUGAGUUCGGGAGAGGGAUGCGGAAUUCCAGGUGUAGCGGUGAAAUGCGUAGAUAUCUGGAGGAACAUCGGUGGCGAAGGCGGCAUCCUGGACCGACACUGACGCUGAGGAGCGAAAGCCAGGGGAGCAAACGGG
rnacentral:rRNA from 1 species